rnacentral:rRNA from 1 species
CCUACGGGUGGCAGCAGUGGGGAAUAUUGGACAAUGGGCGAAAGCCUGAUCCAGCCAUGCCGCGUGUGUGAAGAAGGCCUUCGGGUUGUAAAGCACUUUCAGUGGGGAAGAAAGCCUUGGGGCUAAUACCCUCGAGGAAGGACAUCACCCACAGAAGAAGCACCGGCUAACUCCGUGCCAGCAGCCGCGGUAAUACGGAGGGUGCGAGCGUUAAUCGGAAUUACUGGGCGUAAAGCGCGCGUAGGCGGUCUGAUAAGCCGGUUGUGAAAGCCCCGGGCUCAACCUGGGAACGGCAUCCGGAACUGUCAGGCUAGAGUGCAGGAGAGGAAGGUAGAAGUCCCGGUGUAGCGGUGAAAUGCGUAGAGAUCGGGAGGAAUACCAGUGGCGAAGGCGGCCUUCUGGACUGACACUGACGCUGAGGUGCGAAAGCGUGGGUAGCAAACAGGAUUAGAUACCCUGGUAGUC